ensembl:lncRNA
AGAAACUCAGGAGGAGCAAAGACUAAGACUGGUGAUAUCACUCAAUACGUAGUGGUCUGUGGACGUGGAGGCUGAGGCAACAUGCCAGAGGGAGCUGCAGGAUGGCCGGACACGCUGACGCUAACAAGCGUCCACGAAUCCCCGGUGAGGGAAGCUCAGAGUCCCAACACACGCUGAGGGAGUGCUUGACUUCACUCUGCAGGAUUCCUUAUCGGGGCCUGAAGUCUUAAUGCUUUCAACUUGGCCCACAUGUUAAUGGAUCUUCUUCCCGUGGAGGCAAAUGGGAUCUCAGAAGAGAGAGAGGAACCAGCAGCAGUUCAUCGCAGCAUGUGACCAACAAGCAGAACAUCAAUCUUGCUCAGGUUUCCCCUGCUGGUGGAGCAGCAGGUAACCGUCGUGGUGAUCAGAACAACAUCAGAUCAAUGAAAGAGAAUCAGCUCCAUAGCUGUUUGGUUGUGACAGUAUUUUAAGGAUUGGAGAAACUUGCACUGCUGAUCACCUCUGGGUUUAACAUAUGGUUGCCUUGGAGACUGACGGGGGCACGUGUCCACGUCCUGGUGAACUGGGGACUGAGCGGCCUGUUGAUCCUGCACACAGCAGCCGGUGGUGAGUGACGGAUUCUUCCAUCAGCUACCAUUGCAGCAUCAUCAGCCAUCAUUAACCUCAGCUGAUAAUCAGCUAACAAGCUUUUCAAAUUAGCAUGUUUUUGUGUGUUCACACUGGUGUUUGCGGAGGCUUGCUGUCAUUUUUUGAUUUUGAGAAAUAGAACGAGCCUCUGGGCUUUUUGCAUCAAGCUUUACCUCGUGCGCAGGGUAUAUAGUUUCACAUGAAUUAUUUUUUCUUUUGAUUGCCGUCUUAGAAACCCCACCAGUGCAUCAUAAACACGGCAUUCCAUAUAUCCUCGUUCAGAUGGCUUCCUAUGUUCAGCUACACGGAAAGGGAACUGAAUAUAAAAAGCCUAAUCUACCUCGUAGAUGGAGAGCCUAAUCUCGUCCAGAGGCCGCCGCGUACACGUGGAAGGCAACGUUCAUUUUUUAAUUCCACCGCAGUCUUGGAAAUAAGCACAGAAUCUGAAUUCUUAAUAAUGUGUUUUGGACCCAAACCAUUUAAAUGAAUGAUCCUCAGCCUCACCGGGUGAGACAACUACAUGACUAAAGCGAUAUAUUGCACAGUAUAUAUAUAAGACAGCCAUUCAUGAGUCGGUCUUGGUUAGAAAAAAUAAAUGAGGGUUGCUUAAAAUGAAAACAUUACUCACAUCAGAUGAGUGUGAUCAUGAUUUAUGAGUUGUUUUAAACCACAGUUUUACUUCUCAUUGUGUUAUCUUGUGUUAUUGUUUCUCCACACAAUGCUUUCAAAAUUGUCUCCAUUGUUUUGUCUUCAAGAACCCAGA